rnacentral:misc_RNA from 1 species
AACGCAGGCCGCGCCUUGCAUAUCACUUGUGUUAUCGCAAGGCAUCUACGUAUGAGUGUCAGCCUAUCAUCCUUUUGGUUUAAUAAUAAUAUUAUUUAUUAUUGAAUCCAUUAUGCGAGUAUCAUUUAUUUGAUACACGCGUUUAACAAAGUUUGUGUCUGGCCUCAUAUGUGGAAGGUUACCCGCUGGAUUUAA